GCUGCAUUAGUGGAAUGGUUAGCACACCACCCUUUCAAGGUCGGAGAUUAUUGGUUCGAAUCCAAUAUGCAGUA
rnacentral:tRNA from 1 species